rnacentral:rRNA from 1 species
UUCCACAAUGGACGAAAGUCUGAUGGAGCAACGCCGCGUGAGUGAAGAAGGGUUUCGGCUCGUAAAACUCUGUUGUUAAAGAAGAACAUAUCUGAGAGUAACUGUUCAGGUAUUGACGGUAUUUAACCAGAAAGCCACGGCUAACUACGUGCCAGCAGCCGCGGUAAUACGUAGGUGGCAAGCGUUGUCCGGAUUUAUUGGGCGUAAAGCGAGCGCAGGCGGUUUUUUAAGUCUGAUGUGAAAGCCUUCGGCUCAACCGAAGAA